CCUUGACAUACUAAGAACUUUCCAGAGAUGGAUUGGUGCCUUCGGGAACUUAGAUACAGGUGCUGCAUGGCUGUCGUCAGCUCGUGUCGUGAGAUGUUGGGUUAAGUCCCGCAACGAGCGCAACCCUUUUCCUUAUUUGCCAGCGGGUCAUGCCGGGAACUUUAAGGAUACUGCCAGUGACAAACUGGAGGAAGGCGGGGACGACGUCAAGUCAUCAUGGCCCUUACGGCCAGGGCUACACACGUGCUACAAUGGUCGGUACAAAGGGUUGCUACCUCGCGAGAGGAUGCUAAUCUCAAAAAGCCGAUCGUAGUCCGGAUCGCAGUCUGCAACUCGACUGCGUGAAGUCGGAAUCGCUAGUAAUCGCGGAUCAGAAUGCCGCGGUGAAUACGUUCCCGGGCCUUGUACACACCGCCCGUCACACCAUGAGAGUUUGUUGCACCAGAAGUAGGUAGUCUAACCGCAAGGAGGACGCUUACCACGGUGUGGCCGAUGACUGGGGUGAAGUCGUAACAAGGUAAGCGUAGAUGA
rnacentral:rRNA from 1 species